UGUUUUUGCUUUUUGCCUAGGUUGACUCAAUGAGAGCAUGCUCCUCUUCAUGGUCCAUGGAUUAACUAAUUUUCAAAUUUUCUCCAAAAUUGUGGGGGUGGGCAAGAGAGAGAGGUAUGAGCAACAACUCCUUCAAUCCUAGGUGCAUGAACACAGGAACGUUGGGGAUGUGGAAUCAUGUUGAUUUAUGAAUCUCCCUUGCUUUGAGUAAUUGGGUCAUGCACGUGGAUCCAGCGGUGCCUUGCUUCUCCUUUCGUUUUUUCUUCUCUUAUAGUCCUUUUUUUUGCUUAUUCAGGAAGCUUGCGCCGUUGCUUCUCGCCUCUCCUCACUCAAAUUGUUCUCUCGCAGGUGAUUGAGGAUGGUUACCUGUACUUAUAUCAGUGGGCUUUGACAAACUUUUUUGUUCUGUACUGUAUUACUGAUUUGCUUUUUACAGGGUUUAGUAGCAAUUGUCGAGCAUCAGCGGCUCUUGGUUUGGGAUAGUUUGUGAGCUCUCUUUGCAAGACUCUAUUCAUGGUUUCCCAUUGUUUUCUUAUUUUUUUUCUUUAUGGGUUGUCUGUCUUGAUAUUGAAGGGGAAUUUUUGUGUCUCGUGUUGAUGGUCACUGCAGAAAAAAUGAGAGGAAGACCUAUCUGAGAUGCAAGUUCCUUCUCAGGUUUCCAAAUACCUUCCCAAAUAAUCAAAUCGGUGACAGGGCAGGUAAGCAUGCAGGAAGAAGCAAGUAGAUUAGGUCGGUCAUCUCCAAAACAUUAUUUAAAGUUUAAACAAUUGAAUGCCAGAGGCAAGGAAGGGCCAAGCAGAGCCUAACAUUGAUUAAAGAAUUUUGGGUUUCUUUCCGUAUUAAGGUUUUCCACCCGAAUAUUAACAGCAAUUGCAGCAUUUGUCUUGGCAUUCUCAAGGAGCUGUGGGGCCGUGCCCAAACAGUUUCCGAGGUUUAAUGCUAUCAUUUGGCUCCUUUGAGGGAAUGCACUCAUGUAAAAAGUAAGUGUUAAAACGUAGUCUUUCUUAACAUAUGGGAGCUAUCUCAGAUAGUUUGCAUCUUUUACAUGUUUCUGUCAUUCUUUAACUCAGUCAUAAGUCUUUAACUUCGCCAUCUGUUAUGAAGAUGUACGUCAUUACUUCAUUUUUUUUAUCGUCACAUGUCUCUCCUUCCUUAUUGUAUCAUACUCAAUCGAAGCACAACAUUUGAGUACAGAACCAAAUCCAGAUGAUCCUGUGGUUCGACAUUACGCAGAUAUCGAAUGUCGUCUGUGACAUUUUGAUGGGAUUUCCUUUGAACCUUACUGAUGUUCUGAUUCAAAUAUAUGUAACAAAAAUGCACAACUAAAUCGUUCUCUUGCAGAUUGUUGGUUUGGAAGAAGAAAACCUCAUUUUAUUUCAUGAAAAAAAUAAGGUA